rnacentral:rRNA from 1 species
CGAUACAUCCUGAGCACUGAGUUUGGGGACAGAGGAAUGGCAUGCACCCGCUUCUGGCACUGAAGCAGCUGGCAGGCAAACCCCAUGUUCGGAUUCGCGAUCCCCCUGGCAGCCUUCACAAACUGGAAUGCGUCAUCGAAGCUCUGCCCUUCCCUCCACAUCAAAUACGCUAUCACCAGCGAUGUCGAGCGCGACACCCCCUGGCAGCAAUGCACGAACACGCGCCCAGCCUGCUCCCUCACGUCCUCGAAGUAA